GGAUUUGCAUGUUUAUAUGAAAUCUGAAUUUUGAGCAUAAUCUAAGGAUUUUAGAUAAAUUAUAUAUGCUGAAGUGGGAUUUGACUUAGGAGAAAGCGAAUUAAACCUACACUGCCACUUUCGAAAUGUUAACAGAUUUAGCUUCAGGAUCUAAUUUUUUUGUUGUAUAACUGCUGUUAGUGCGUUGUGGAUACUUAGAUUAGUGUAAAGUGAGAUUACGCUCGUGUUGAAGAGCCGAGCUUUACAGUAGAGUUUGGACUGUUCCGUACUAUCGGGUGUCGUUGGGGCGGACGGUGGUCCCAGAUGUUUA
rnacentral:lncRNA from 1 species